rnacentral:rRNA from 1 species
AUUGAACGCUGGCGGCAUGCCUUACACAUGCAAGUCGAACGGCAGCACGGGUGCUUGCACCUGGUGGCGAGUGGCGAACGGGUGAGUAAUAUAUCGGAACGUACCUUAUUGUGGGGGAUAACGCAGCGAAAGCUGUGCUAAUACCGCAUAAUCCCUAAGGGGGAAAGCGGGGGACCGUAAGGCCUCGCGCAAUUAGAGCGGCCGAUACCUGAUUAGCUAGUUGGUGAGGUAAAAGCUCACCAAGGCAACGAUCAGUAGCUGGUCUGAGAGGACGAUCAGCCACACUGGGACUGAGACACGGCCCAGACUCCUACGUGAGGCAGCAGUGGGGAAUUUUGGACAAUGGGGGCAACCCUGAUCCAGCAAUGCCGCGUGAGUGAAGAAUGCCUUCGGGUUGUAAAGCUCUUUUGUCAGGGAAGAAACAGCAGCUCUAACACAGUUUGCGAAUGACGGUACCUGAAGAAUAAGCACCGGCUAACUACGUGCCAGCCGCCGCGGUAA